ensembl:lncRNA
CCUACUGUCAUUGACUGAUACUGCUAGUCAUAUAUCACAUUAAUACUUUACUAAUUUGCAGUAUUUUCAGCAGAGUUCAUGUCAUGUGACCCACUGAUGAAAAAUCUAAAUCAUAUAAUUACUAUGACAAAUCUGCAUUUUUGGCACAUGAUCCUGAAGCAAAUGAGAAAACAUGCUGAGUUUUCUAAAGACAAUAUCAAUAUUAUAAAUAAAAAAUAUGUGGUAAAAAUAUGACAUGAACAUCUUUGUCCAUAAUUUUCAAUCGGGUCAAGUCGACAGGAAGGAAUUUAAAAUAACAUGAAGUUUGUUUCACACAUCAUAAUUAGUUACCAUCUCACAUGAUCAUAAAUUAUUAUUGACAGCCAAAUUUUAUCCUCAAACCCUCUGUUGAUGUUGCAUGAAGCACUAUACACGGUACCCCAUGCGAGACAAUGUAUAAUAUAUAUGUCGGAAUGUGACCAAUGACAAGAUUAAGUUGUACAGUGAUUAAAUAAUGUUGUCUCUACUUUAAGAACAUAGAGUAAGUCCCUCUUUUCUUUGCAAACCCUGAAAAGAUGAUCCAUCCUUGAAACCAUCACAGCUACAUUUCUGUAAUUCAUUCUGGUAAUAAAGGAAUCAAACACAAAAAAACUACAACAAAGAAAACUUCCCAGCUCCAGCUGUUACAAACUGCUGCCUUCAGUCUGUUAACCAGGAGGAAGAAGAAGAGGUGAAAAUACAGAUCUAAGAGGAGACGGAGAGAUUCAGGGAGGAGCUGAGCUGUUACUGAACUAUAGAAGAGAGAGGAACUUCCAUAUUCAGCAGAGUUCAAUACACAAACCAGAAACAUUACCUUUAUUCAACAUGCUGUCACUGGACUAUUAUGGGCUGUCUUUGAUGUUUCUCUCUAUUAUAACAGGAGUCAGCUGUGAAGAACUCAGUCCAGUCAAGAAUGAAGAGUCCAGUUUAGAAGACAGCACUGUUACUCUGUCCUACACAUACUCCAAACAAGCUACUGGUAGUGAUCAGUUUUACUGGUAUCGACAACAUCCAGGAAAACCACCAGAGUUCCUCAUUUCUCACUCUGGAACAGGAUCAUCCAUAUCUGAACCAGUCUCUCGACUGUCCUUCAAAGUGAGUGAUGACAAAACCAAAAUGCGUCUGCAGAUCUCCUCUGCUGCAGUGACAGACUCUGCUGUGUACUACUGUGCUGUGAGGCCCACAGUGACAGGAAACACCAAAACUCUGUACAAAAACCUUUGGAGCAAAGACAACACAAUACUCCACAACAUCCACUAGAGGGAGUCACACACUGUUAAACUGGUUUAAAUCCUGGUUUGAUUGUGUGAAACAACACCAGAAUGAAUCAAACAAUGAAUGAACAAUAUCACAAUUGAUUCAAAAACCCAAAAAGGGGAAUACAAUACUCUGGUCAAUAGAAGCAAAAAUCAUCUAGGAAUGAAUAUUUUGGAUGUCAAUGUUAUAUCACCAAGUCCUGGUUAGAUGUUUGUUAAACAUUUGUUUUCACAGAAAAUAUUAAAUGUGAUGUUUUACCACAGUUUAGAAGGAAAACUUAAAAACAUCUUCUCUGUACCAUUCUUAUCAUAUAUGAGACAUUAUUAAGCAGUCGUUAGAAGUGACACCACCUCCAUUGAAUAAGUCACUGUCAUCUCUGGGCUCUCUGCAUCAAAGGUGUCGGCGUGUAGUUUGAUGAUAAAAGAAUUCUGCGGAGGCAAGGCUGGGUGGAGUGCUAGAGCAAUCUUUAUCGAAACAGAUCUCAAGCCUGCGUCCAAGCCAGAGGCGGCCGCUUUCUGGUAUUGUCAAAUCUAUGGGAAAGCAAUGCCAAAAUGCUUCGCCCUCUGCUCUAUCACAAAUCCUAUCAAACCAUCGAUCUUAGGAAAUCUACC